rnacentral:lncRNA from 1 species
UUUUUGUAGAGGUGGAACUCACUCCAUUCUUUUUUAUUUUUUUUAAUUGAGGUAAGACUUAAGUCUCAGGUACGAACAACAACAAAAUUGAGGUAAGAUUUACUACAAUGGAAGGCACGGAUCUUUUAUAUUUUUAAAAAAUGUUAUCAGGCAGCCUCCCAAACCAGAAUAGGUUUGGAGAGACUCCCAGAAUGCACAGAUCUUAACAGCAGGGUUUCAUGACUUUUGUAUGUGCAGACCACUGCCACAUACGAGUAAGCUACGGAACACUCCUUUCCCUGAAAGCACCCACAGGCCCGUUCCUCACAGGCAC